rnacentral:rRNA from 1 species
GAUGAACGCUGGCGGCGUGCCUAAUACAUGCAAGUCGAGCGAACAGAUGAGGAGCUUGCUCCUCUGACGUUAGCGGCGGACGGGUGAGUAACACGUGGAUAACCUACCUAUAAGACUGGGAUAACUUCGGGAAACCGGAGCUAAUACCGGAUAAUAUAUUGAACCGCAUGUUUCAAUAUUGAAAGACGGUUUUGCUGUCACUUAUAGAUGGAUCCGCGCCGCAUUAGCUAGUUGGUAAGGUAACGGCUUACAAAGGCGACGAUGCGUAGCCGACCCGAGAGGUGGCUCGGCCACACUGGAACUGAGAUACGGUCCAGACUCCUAAGGGAGGGCGCAGUAGGGAAUCUUCCGCAAUGGGCGGAAGCGUGACGGAGCAACGCCGCGUGAGUGAUGAAGGUCUUCGGAUCGUAAAACUCUGUUAUUAGGGAAGAACAAAUGUGUAAGUAACUAUGCACGUCUUGACGGUACAUAAUCAGAGAACCACGGCUACUUACGUG